rnacentral:rRNA from 1 species
UACGUAGGUGGCAAGCGUUGUCCGGAUUUAUUGGGUUUAAAGGGUGCGUAGGGGGUUCCAUAAGUCAGUGGUGAAAUACAAUAGCUUAACUAUUGAGGUGCCAUUGAUACUGCGGAACUUGAGUACAGACGAGGUAGGCGGAAUUGACGGUGUAGCGGUGAAAUGCUUAGAUAUCGUCAAGAACACCGAUAGCGAAGGCAGCUUACUAGACUGUAACUGACGCUGAGGCACGAAAGUGUGGGGAUCAAACAGG